rnacentral:rRNA from 1 species
AGUGAACGCUGGCGGUAGGCCUAACACAUGCAAGUCGAACGGCAGCACAGUAAGAGCUUGCUCUUACGGGUGGCGAGUGGCGGACGGGUGAGGAAUACAUCGGAAUCUACUUUUUCGUGGGGGAUAACGUAGGGAAACUUACGCUAAUACCGCAUACGACCUACGGGUGAAAGCAGGAGAUCUUCGGACCUUGCGCGUUUGAAUGAGCCGAUGUCGGAUUAGCUAGUUGGCGGGGUCAAGGCCCACCAAGGCGACGAUCCGUAGCUGGCCUGAGAGGAUGAUCAGCCACACUGGAACUGAGACACGGUCCAGACUCCUACGGGAGGAAGCAGUGGGGAAUAUUGGACAAUGGGCGCAAGCCUGAUCCAGCCCUACCGCGUGGGUGAAGAAGGCCUUCGGGUUGUAAAGCCCUUUUGUUGGGAAAGAAAAGCAGCAGGUUAAUACCCCGCUGUUCUGACGGUACCCAAAGAAUAAGCACCGGCUAACUUCGUG